UACGUAGGUGGCAAGCGUUAUCCGGAAUUAGUGGGCGUAAAGCGCGCGUAGGCGGUUUUUUAAGUCUGAUGUGAAAGCCCACGGCUCAACCGUGGAGGGUCAUUGGAAACUGGAAAACUUGAGUGCAGAAGAGGAAAGUGGAAUUCCAUGUGUAGCGGUGAAAUGCGCAGAGAUAUGGAGGAACACCAGUGGCGAAGGCGACUUUCUGGUCUGUAACUGACGCUGAUGUGCGAAAGCGUGGGGAUCAAACAGG
rnacentral:rRNA from 1 species